UACGAAGGGAGCGAGCGUUGUUCGGAAUCACUGGGCUUAAAGCGUGCGUAGGCGGAUAUGUAAGUCAGAAGUGAAAUCCCGGGGCCUAACCCCGGAACUGCUUUUGAGACUGCAUGUCUGGAAUUCGGUAGAGGUUAGUGGAAUAUCCAGUGUAGAGGUGAAAUUCGCAGAUAUUGGAUGGAACACCAGUGGCGAAGGCGACUAACUGGGCCGACAUUGACGCUGAGGCACGAAAGCGUGGGUAGCAAACAGG
rnacentral:rRNA from 1 species